rnacentral:lncRNA from 1 species
AUGCAUCUAUAUUUUAAAUACAUAAAUACAACUUCCUCAGUCUGUAUAAUAUUAUUUGUUGUGGAUGUUUUCUGGGCUGACCAUUUGGUAUUAGAGAACUGAUCGGCGUGCUUUCCCGGGGAAGAUGACCUCUCGUGCUCGCUGUGCUCCUUAGGUGGCUGUGGUUCUUUGUGCAGGCUGAGGCCUUGUGGGCUUUCUCUCCCCACAUCACCGUGUCUGCUGGGGAGGUCCUUGUGCAGGUCAUGCUUAGGCAGCUAUGUUGGUAAGACUUUAUGGGACACCUUUCUUUCUUUCCUUCUUUCUUUCCUUCUUCCUUUUCUUUUCUUUUCUUUUCUUUUCUUUUCUUUUCUUUUCUUUUCUUUCUUUCUUUCUUUCUUUCUUUCUUUCUCUCUCUCUCUCUCUCUCUCUCUCUCUCUCUCUCUCUCUCUUUCUCAUUAUCAGUAUUAUUUGUGUGUGUGUGGUGUGCGUGUGUUUCUGUGUUUCUGUGUGUGUGUGUGUGUGUGGUAUACAGUGUGUAUACGUGGGCACAAACAUAUUACAGCAUGCCUGUGGAAGUCAGAGGACAACUCUGUAGAUUCAAUUAUGUCCUUCUACCUAUAUGUUGGGUUAGGAGAUAGGCCUCGAGGCUUAUAUGGCCAGUGCCUUUUCCUGCAGAAUUAUCUUAGGACCCCAAAUUGCUUUCUAAGCCAAUUGUGCCCCCCAAAGUACCCCACAAUGCUACUCUGAAAAUGCUGUUUGGUGGUUGUCAACAUUGUUGGUGUAAUUGCACUAUCAAUCUGGCAGCUGGAAAUGAGAACCUCCUUGGUUGACUCUGUCAUAAUCUCAAUAGGAAACAUGUUCUGUGUCCUUACCACAGGUGACAGACUCUUAAGAGGUAGACUGUGUCUCUUAUAUUUUAUGUCUUUAUUUUACAAAUCAAGAAACUAUAGCCACCAGGUAGGUAACUGGGAACUAUAAUCAAACUCAUCCCAGUUCAUGGGACCCUUGAGUCUGGGUGUGGCUCAUUGAAUUUAAAACCUAAGAAAAGACUCCAGGCAGCAAUAAAGUCACCUGACUGAAAUAAUGUAUACUACCAUUUGAAAGACCCACAGAAAUAUUUCUGGCCUUUAUUAAAAUGAAACAGAAACCACUCGUUACUAUAAAUAAACCUGUUUUACAGAAAGAAUUUUAUGAAAUUUAGCAGAAAUAAAAACAUCUAGUUUAAUCCAGUGAUUGCUCACUUUCUGAAUAAAAGCAGCCUAUGGAGUUAUUAAAAGAGUAAACAAAAUGCCAUUUUACAAACAUCUUGAAUCUUUUUGAAAAGAGGAGAUAUGGGACUGGUGGUAUGGGGUCACUAUGUAAUGCCACCACACCUGACUCAACUUCAAUCCUGGGAUUCACACACAAAAAAAGGAGACAACUGACUUUCACAGUUGUCUUCUCAUGUCCUUACAUGUGUCAUAAUGCUUAGACAUCAGUGUACACACACACAUACAUACAUACAUACAUACUCUCACACACACACACUUACACACAUUCACACACACAUACAUACUCCCAUACACUCCUCAUACACAAACUUUCACACACACCCUUACACAUACACAUGUGUACACACUAACAUACACACAUAAACACACACUCACACAGAAUAAAGGAAACAAAAAUGUUUUCAAGAAAAAGUAGGAUGUUAUCAGUGUUGUGUAUUUGGUAAUUCAGGGUGUUUGAGCCUGAAAGCUAGGGUUUGACUUUUGGACUAUUAAUUACCUAUCUAUGGCUUUCUUUUUCACUGUUCCUUGCCCCCUACUUUCUCUCCAAAUCAACUGUAAAACUUAUUUGUGACACUGUUGUUUAAAGAGGAACCUUUUCUGGCAGUGCGACUACUCUUGCAUUGCGCUUAGGACAGGCUUAGGGUCAUGUCCAGUUCUACCAUAAGCCUUUGAGAAGGCACAGACAUGUGAAGCUGGGGCCUGUGUCUUUCUAUGCCGUUUCUCUUGCUUGGUAACUCGAGUAUCUCUGCUCUUAGAGUCUUGCCUCUGAGUUCCUAGGAAGACCUGAAAUAGAAUGUAUCACACAUGUACAUUUUUGAAGGCUUGUGAGUGCAGACGGAAUAUAAAACCCAAGUCCAUAUUCUUAGUAUGAGUCUCCAGUAAUUGGAGUUGGGAUACACAUGGACAUUCUGUCUCUUGCUUGCAGUCUUUAUUUGCAUGUGUAAGGAAGCUGGAUUUCCAUUCUGCCUGUAUUUAGGAUAUUGUCAGGCAUCAUUUCUUUGAAAAGAUAUUCUCAAGCUGGAACAACAGGAUCUAUCAUAAGACUCUAUUCAACUCAUGGCACCUAACACUGCAGCAUACUAGGAACACUUUAGCCCCCACAAUCACUGUGAUGAUUCAGGCAUUUUCUAAUUUGCCAAAGUGGUGCACACUUUUAAUCCCAGCCUUAUAGAGAUAGGAAAGAUCUGAAUGACAUGAUGGUUCAAGGCCAUCCUCAGAAAACAUUUGAGUUUAAUACCUACCUAGCUACAUGUGUCUCUGUCUCAAAAUCAAAAUGAUAAUUAGGCCAUUUUCUUGCUAUUACUUCUUUUGUUAAAAAUUUAUAAUUGACAUUUUAUUAAAUAAUUUUUACAUCAGUACUAUGUGUUAAACCUCAGUGUUAGAAGUUGAAGCAAAACCAUGCAAACAAACUAUUAAAAAUAAACAUGUAAUCAGCUUCUUAUCUACCCUAAGUACCACCCAGGACUCAGUGCCAGAGUCUUAUCUACCCUAAGUACCACCCAGGACUCAGUGCCAGAUGGAGGAAGGGAUUUCACAGUUUGGACAAAAAGCAGUGGCCAGUGAUUUUUUUUUUCAAGUAAGCCAAGCUUCACCAGCCCCUUGGAUUUUAUUGUAAAGAUUAAUGUAGCUGCAUUCAGGAGGAAUGUCUUAGGGUUCCUUAGCCAGACUAUCGUCCUCAUCUCUCCUCUUCCAUGUAUAUAAAUCCCCUCAUAUCGUUGGGGAUAUAGUCUUUCCCCCUAGUAAUUUCCCCCUAGGCUUUCCUCUCUUCUACCUAACACUUGUAACAUGCUAGAUGAAUUGGGCAUAUUAUUCUCACAAAGGAUAGUUAUGGGGCGCAGUCUUUCUAUAUAGCCUAAGCUAGCCUCAAACCCACCGUACUCCUGCCUCAGUCUGUUCAGUGCUAGGGUUACAAGCAUGUACCACAAUGCCUGGUUUGACUUCACCAACUUAAACAUGUCAUAUUCUUCUUGCAAAUUCUGUUGGCCACUCUGC